CACUUUGCCAAGUAGGCUCGGUGCAUGGAGGGUCGCCUGCUUUCCAAGAGGAUGCGUUGAACUCCUUCCGAGCAUGCCCUUUCCUCCCGGCCUAACCAUUGAGCAGCUACGCUGUGAAGUGGAGUGCCGCUAGGUUGGGGUUGAAGAGGUGGCCCUGAUCCUGGGAGAGCAGGUCCGGGCGGGACGGCAACGGCCACAGCAGGGCGACCACCAGGCUCGUGAGGGUCCCAUACCAAUGCUGCCUGGGCCACGCCGGGGCAACCAGGAGGACCCAGGCCCUGUCUGUCUUUAUCUUUUCCAGGACUUGCCUAUCAGUGGGAAUGGGGGGAAGGCAUAGAGGAACUGGCCCGACCAGGACAGGAGGAAGGCAUUGGAGAUAGCGCCCCGUUCCAGCCCCCCCCGAGGACAGCAACAGUUCUGACAAGUCGCAAACAGGUCCACCUGGGGAAUUUCCCACUCUCGGAAAGGUCUGUGCACCACCUCUGGGUAAAGAGACCACUCGUGCUGAGAGAAGUCCCUACUCAAGCAAGCCACCCGCAAGUUCCAGGUGGCCCAGAGUGGCACACGUGGACAGAAGGAGCGCCACAUGAUCCCGCACCUGCGACCGAGAGCUGCCCUUGACCAGCCAGUCGUCCAGAUAGGAGAAGAUCUGGACCCCACCAUGCCUGAGCUUGUGCACAUCUGAAGGAUACACAGACAAAUGGGCUUGCGCUUGCAAGUGCCUGUGGUGCAUAUUGAUAGAUUUGAGAAUAUCUCGCAGCUCGGGGGAGUCACCAGCAGAAAAGGUGAACGGAAAAGACGUCGCUCAGGUAAAUUACCAAUUUAGAAGUAACGUUAGAGGAUUUGUGUGUGUGUAAUGGGGUUAGGAACCGGGGUUGUGUAAAGCUAAAAACAAGCAAUGGGAACUUAUACUUGUUUCUUUUCUGAAAAUCUCUCAAUAGCUCAACAAUGCCUUUCUAUAGGACCCAGAUGCCCUGGACAGCAUAGUAUAAGGGCCCCACCAUCAAUCAAAUGUCAACCUCGCCCCUUGACCCCUUAAGCCCCGCCCAGCUGUCACCAAAAGUCCCAUCACUGGGGAUAUUACUUCCGGGGUCAAGCCAGACACUUGACCGGAAGCAAGCUGUGUCAUUUGACCCCUCUAAGAACUCUUCCCACUGCCUUCUACCAAUCAGGAGGUGUUUUGCACCCAUGGGACUGCCCCGAGAGAUUUGACCUAUCAGGGGAGCUCCAGGGCAAGGUGACCCAUCCGAAACUGGGUCGUGUGACCCCUCUAACAACUCCUCCCACUGAUCUCUGCCAUCAGAGUGCAGCACUAUCGCCCCAUAAGUCCCAGCGCCAGGCAGAAGAGGCCAUCUCUUACCAAGAACGCAUGUUUAAGAAAUCGUGGAAAGGCUAAGAGGAAACAUGAACUCCUUCACCAUCACAGGCUCAAACACACAUGGGGGGAAACAGAACAACCAUGUGCCAGCAACCCUUUAUCCUCUGGUAGAAGGCCCAAACACACAUGGGGGGAAACAGAACAACCAUGUGCCAGCAAUCCUUUGUCCUCCGGUAGAAUGUAACUUUCUGCAAUUGGCUUUAUUGAAAAGUAUUUUGUUGCAAACUCUUGGUUGUAAACUGCUGGGGUUUUAUGGCUGCAAACUCUUGGUAUGCAUGUUUAAAACUUACGGGUUUCUAUGCAAAAUGUUUUUUUAAAAGUUGGUUUUACAACAGUUUGGUUUUUAUUCUGCAAAAUGAGAUGUGUUUUUAAAAAUGUUUGUGGGUUGUUGUUUUUUUUAAGUGGUAGAAAUAAACUCAAAAGCUGUUCGUUGUACAGCCUGAAAUCGAUUAUUUUGUUUUAAAGCUGUGCCUUUUUAAAUAGAAAAACACUCUAAUGAGUAUUUUAUUUUUUAAGUUUACAAGACCGUUUCAUGUGUUUUAUAAUAAUAAUCUUGUCUGCUCCACAAGCUCAAAAGAAAAAGGAAAGAGACAGCGGCAAAGGAAAACUCACCAGCAUCAAUGACUGAUGGAUGGAUGAAGCCCACUAAAUAUAUUUUGCUUAUUGGUUUGGUUAUUUUAUGAGGUUGUGUAUUUUAAGUAAAUACAUAGGUGUGGGUGAGAAAGAUGGUAAAAUUAAGUUUUGGAAAAUGUUUUUUUCCCCCUAAUCAGGCAAGUGCAGCUCUCCUAAUGAUGCUGUAGUCGGAGCUACAGGGACACCUGCACCAGAACCGCCAAAGAACCAGGAAUCUGCUUUGAGACCUUUAGCAACGCCAGCACAAAACAGCACAAGAGUGCAGAUGAAGUAUCAGGACAGUUCAAUCCUCAUUUUUGUCAAACCCAAGGACAAAACAAAAGACUCUGGUAAAAACCAACCAGGCAAACACAGCUCCUGUUCCUCAGCGGCCACCACCACACCAAGUCCUGAGAAAACUGUGAGCGAAAACGCCCACAUUCACAAACCCGGAGCACGUGCUCUAGGGGUUGUGAAUAAAAAGGACUGACAAACCAUUCUCCCAACACCAUAAGCUCAUGACAGCUCCCCCAUAUUCUAGUAUUUGGGAAAAGUAUGAUGCCUCAUUCAGAAAACUGAUGGACUCUGUUCCUCAGGGGUUCUAAAAGAAAAGAGGGCUGGAAACUACAUCAAAAAUGCAAAAGCUCUGGCGGGUGACUUUUUGAAAAUACUUCAAUUUUUCCAAAGGGUGGCUCUGAGCAGGCAUGACUAUUCGUGGAAAUGGGCCUGGGUACAAGGGGCACCCUCAAGGGUACAUCCGCUCAGGUGUAAAGAAAAGGAGGGACAGUGCUUGGGGGAUAAACAGAUGGCUGCCAAAAAGUUCCAGGCCAGGGUCGCUGUAAAUUUUUUUUAAAAGACUGAAGAGGUAAUGAGGAAAAAACAAAACAAAAAGAUGCCCCCUACUGGAGGCUCUCAAACUGGCUCAUCUGAAAAUGGGGAGGUGGAAUCCGACCUGUGGGUGGUGGUGACUCUCACGCAGAGUCUGAUUUAGAAAAUUCCCCAGAAGGCUCUCUAGAUGAGUCCAGGGUGACUCCUGAUGACUCUCACGGAAGCCCCUCAGAGUCUGACUCUCAAAUAGCAUCUGAUGUAGAAGAUGCCGCUGAUGGUCCCAUAGAGGAACCCCCAAGUGACCUUGAAAAUGCAGGGGUGUAUAUGGAGAGAGUGAGACUCCGUGAGGGUCAUCAGAAGUAGACGGGACCCAUCUAGAGUGUUACUACCAGAACAAUUGUGACGUGAAAGUGGGGAUAGGGACAUGCUGAACCUGUGACAUAUGAGGGUGCCAGCUUGGAAGUGCUGUUCGACCCUGCCUGCUCAGGCUUACUCUAUUCUGGUACAGUACCUGUAGCAUAUAAGCUUAAGAGUAUGUCUACACUACAAGACUAUUUCGAAUCAACUUAAGUCGAAUUUGUGGAAUCGACCUUACGAAGUCGAAUUGUGUAUCCACACUAAAAACACUAAUUCGACUGUGUGAGUCCAC